rnacentral:rRNA from 1 species
UGGGGAAUAUUGGACAAUGGGGGCAACCCUGAUCCAGCAAUGCCGCGUGUGUGAAGAAGGCCUUCGGGUUGUAAAGCACUUUUAUCGGGAACGAAACAUUGUCGGCCAAUACCCGGCAAGACUGACGGUACCCGAGGAAUAAGCACCGGCUAACUCCGUGCCAGCAGCCGCGGUAAUACGGAGGGUGCAAGCGUUAAUCGGAAUUACUGGGCGUAAAGCGUGCGCAGGCGGUUUGUUAAGUCUGCUGUGAAAUCCCCGAGCUCAACUUGGGAAUUGCAGUGGAUACUGGCAAGCUGGAGUGCGGUAGAGGAAGGUGGAAUUCCCGGUGUAGCAGUGAAAUGCGUAGAGAUCGGGAGGAACACCAGUGGCGAAGGCGGCCUUCUGGACCAGUACUGACGCUCAUGCACGAAAGCGUGGGGAGCAAACA